GCGCUAAGUAUAUUUUAUCGAGAAUUUUAUCACAGUGUUGUUUACAAAGCUAAAGAAGCACGUCAUAUUAGAAUUAAAGAUGAACAUUUUCAAAGAAUCUUUUACAGUAUAGAACAUGAGAUUUUUUUUUAAUUCUUUUUUUAAAUCUGUGCUUACCAAAGUAAGUUUCAGAAAAGGGAGAAGGUUUGGUACAUGUACCAUUAAAACAUUUAAUCCUGCUGUAAAUGUUUGCACUUGUCCUAAGUCAGAAAUCUGAUGUACAGUAGUUGUUGUCUGUUUAUGUAGUUCAUACGUGUUUCUCGUUUCGGGUUUUCAUAUAGAUUAGACCAAUGGUUUUCCGGUUUGAAUGGUUUUACACUAGUAAUUUUGGGAUCCUUUAUAGCUUGCUGUUUGGUGUGAGUCAAGGCUCCAUGAUGAAGGCCCUACCUUGACCUACAUGUAUAAUGGUUUACAUUUAUAAAUUAUUACUUGGAUGAAGGUUGUCUUAUUGGCAC
rnacentral:lncRNA from 1 species